rnacentral:rRNA from 1 species
GACGAACGCUGGCGGCGUGCUUAACACAUGCAAGUCGAACGGAAAGGCCCUGCUUUUGUGGGGUGCUCGAGUGGCGAACGGGUGAGUAACACGUGAGUAACCUGCCCUUGACUUUGGGAUAACUUCAGGAAACUGGGGCUAAUACCGGAUAGGAGCUCCUGCUGCAUGGUGGGGGUUGGAAAGUUUCGGCGGUUGGGGAUGGACUCGCGGCUUAUCAGCUUGUUGGUGGGGUAGUGGCUUACCAAGGCUUUGACGGGUAGCCGGCCUGAGAGGGUGACCGGCAACAGUGGGACUGAGAGACGGGCGAGACGAGUACGGGAGGCAGAAGUGGGGAAGAGUGCACACGGGGCGGAAGCCGAAUGCAGCAACGCCGUGGGCGGGAGGACGGCCUUCGGGUUGUAAAACACAUUCGCCUGUGACGAGGCGGGAGUGACGUUGAGGGGUAGAGAAGCACCGGCUAACUACGUG